CGUAUAUAUGUGAUUGAACCCAGUUAAGGCCAUUAUAUAAACAUUUACCAUCCUGGCGGGUGGGUGCGGAGAUGUGCUCUACUCGCGGAGCCCAAGACAAGCCUUGCCGAGUGAAUAUCCAGGAGUACAUUUCUGUGUUGCAUGUUAAGGUGCCUGGUACCCUGAAACUCCCUGUGAAUUUGCUGGUGACCUCACUCAUCAACCUUUGGGAUAGCAGUCUGUGUUCUGCUCUCUGCUUUUUGAUAAGAGGUACUUGAAGAUCUGAGCUUGGCUCAUAAGGAGGCUUCCCAGGCAAAAGUUGCUGGUCUAAGCACCUUCUGAAGACGGAACCUCUUCUGAGCAGAGAGUAGAGUCAGGCCCAUCUGAACAAAUUGGAG